AGGGGAGGAGGUGGGAGUCGUGGGAGGAAAAGUUGGGAGUGGGAGAGAGGUUGACAGCCGAGAGUCGAGGAGACUGAUGGCAGCAAAGUGAAAAGUGGAGACGUCCUAGCACAGAUUGCAUCAACAGGUCUGAGCCCCUCCAGUGUGUUUUCAACUCGGGAACAAAGGUGUCUGCGACUGAAAGAUGAAAACUGCGACAGCUGAUGAAGAUGGUACAGAGUUCAGACGCACGUUUGUGUGGGCCGUCUAAUUGAGGGGAUUGUUUGAUUCCUCUCCCCUCUGUGUUUCUCUCUCUGAAGGCCUGUCAAACUCGCACUCGGCGGAAGAAGAAGGAAAAAGAAAGAAAGAAGAAGAAAACACAACAACGCGUAUGGAAGGACCGGAGGAGCAGAGGAGGGAACGAGAGUGGCGAUGGAAAGACGGCAUUUAGGAAGAAAAAAGGAGGGAGUUUACGCCCACCGCCUGAAGAGAUGAGAAGACAGGCAGAAGAGGAGGGGAGGGGGGGUGAAGGAAGCAGCAGUGUGAGUGUGUGUGAGUGUGUGUGAGUGCCAUAGCCCAUCAGCCUGUCAAACAUCCGUUACAGACCGCAAACCCACACAGCCAUUGUGCUGCUGAGGUCUAUCACUUAACAGGUGCACCUUCUUCACCCUCACACAUCGUCUUAUGAUACAAUAUAUACGCAUUUGCGUCCGUGUGUGUGUGUAAAGGUGUGCGUGUGUAGGUGGCCACAUUUACGCAAGUUUGAGCUUCGUUCACUGAGCUCAGCCCAUCCUGGAUGAUUUCCGUGUAAGCGGUGAUCCACAGUGAGUCACGCUCAUUGAUCAGAAAAUAGUAAUAAAAAAAAACAGCCGGGUGGAUUCUUCUCCCGAGCUCCUUCUCCUCUCCCUCUCUGCCCAACCCACGUUUGAACCCUCAUUGUUCCUCGCCGUGCUCACAGUUUUAUAAUUCUGACUGCUGACGCACCGCAUCUAAAUUCAUCACCCACUUACCCAAAGGUGUUACAGCAUUGAUUUCAGCACUUUUUAGUGUUUUUUUUAUUUUAUUUUUCUUUACCUCAAAUACCCUCAGAAAUAGGUACAGUUUAGAUCAGAGGAUAUUACAUAACAGAGAGAACACAGGAGCCCCCUUUAAAUAAGGUUAAUGUUCUUCUUCUCUGUUGUGUGUGGGCGAUAAAAAGCAGCAUGUGAUAUCUCUAAUUAGAAUACUCGAUCAUUGUGAAAUCGGCGAAUCGCACCCCUGAAACCUCCAAACCUGUAAUCCAUAUGCUCGGAUAUAUUUGCAGUCUCCGCUUAUGAUGCACAUCAGGCGUCCUACCAAUGAGAAUAGUCAUAUCUGUGUUACUAAUGUGAACCCUGUUGUGAUGCAAAAUAGUGAGUCUUGCUAUUUAAAAAAAUGCAACCUUUUCA